rnacentral:rRNA from 1 species
AUUGAACGCUGGCGGCAGGCCUAACACAUGCAAGUCGAACGAGUGGCGGAGUGGUGGGUAAUGUCUGGGAAACUGCCUGAUCGAGGGGGAUAACUACUGGAAACGUUAGCUAAUACCGCAUACCAUCCUAUCUGGCCAGAUGGGAUUAGCUAGUUGGUGGGGUAACGGCUAACCAAGGCGACGCUCCCUAGCUGGUCCGGUAGGAUUACCAGCCACACUGGAACGGAUACACGGCCCAGACUCCUACGGGGGGAAGCAGUGGGGAAUAUUGAACAAUGGGCGCAAGCCUGAUUCAGCCAUGCCGCGUGUAUGAAGAAGGCCUUCGGGUUGUAAAGUACUUUCAGCGGGGAGGCGGUACCCGCAGAAGAAGCACCGGCUAACUCCGUGCCAGCAGCCGCGGUAAUUC